rnacentral:rRNA from 1 species
UACAGAGGUCCCAAGCGUUGUUCGGAAUCACUGGGCGUAAAGGGUGCGUAGGCGGGUCUUUAAGUCAGGGGUGAAAUCCUGGAGCUCAACUCCAGAACUGCCUUUGAUACUGAGGAUCUUGAGUUCGGGAGAGGUGAGUGGAACUGCGAGUGUAGAGGUGAAAUUCGUAGAUAUUCGCAAGAACACCAGUGGCGAAGGCGGCUCUCUGGCCCGAUACUGACGCUGAGGCACGAAAGCGUGGGGAGCAAACAGG